rnacentral:rRNA from 1 species
UACGGGGGGGGCAAGCGUUGUUCAGAAUUACUGGGCGUAAAGGGUUCGUAGGUGGCCGACUAAGUCAGACGUGAAAUCCCUCAGCUCAACUGGGGAACUGCGUCUGAGACUGGCCGGCUUGAGUGCAGGAGAGGAACGCGGAAUUCCAGGUGUAGCGGUGAAAUGCGUAGAUAUCUGGAGGAACACCGGUGGCGAAGGCGGCAUCCUGGACCGACACUGACGCUGAGGAGCGAAAGCCAGGGGAGCAAACGGG